rnacentral:rRNA from 1 species
GACAGAGGGUGCAAACGUUGUUCGGAAUUACUGGGCGUAAAGCGCGUGUAGGCGGCAAGGCAAGUCGGAUGUGAAAGCCCGCGGCUCAACCGUGGAAGUGCACUCGAAACUGCCUAGCUAGAGUCUCGGAGAGGAAGGUGGAAUGCUUGGUGUAGAGGUGAAAUUCGUAGAUAUCAAGCAGAACACCUGUGGCGAAGGCGGCCUUCUGGACGAUGACUGACGCUGAGACGCGAAAGCGUGGGGAGCAAACAGG